AGAGUUUGAUCCUGGCUCAGAAUGAACGUUGGCGGCGUGGAUUAGGCAUGCAAGUCGAACGGGCCUGAUUGAAAGAUCAGGUCAGUGGCGCAAGGGUGAGUAAGGCGACGGCAACCAACCCCAUGGUUGGGCAUAGCCGCGGGAAACUGCGGGUAAUUCCCAGCGAUGUUCGUGUCGGGCAUCCGGCGCGAACCAAAGUU
rnacentral:rRNA from 1 species